GCUGCAGGCCCCGCCCACCAGCCCGGGUCCACCCGCGAGGCGCGGGGCACAGGCUUGGCAGAUGCACACGAGGAAGAGGAAGGGAUCCUCGCAAGCUUUGAAAGGCGCCGUCAAGUCAAAUAAAUAAAUGCCCUACAACACCAACCCAGGACUGAGAUCUGCAUGCUGGAAUGACGGUGGUGGUGGUGGCUUUCAGUAUUCCCCAGGUUUUGUCCGGAGCACCGGCACGCCCUCUCUUGAAGUCCGCUCUCCGCACAGGGAUAAACAACACAAAACCAAGUCAUCUUUACGCAAAUAACUAGUUUCUUUCAGAGACUACUAAGAAAGCGUUAAUUUCCUCUUUUUAACUUGAUUAGUGGUUAGACGGGAAGAUCCGGAGCUGUCCAGUGUCUUGGGUAAUGCACGGCAUCGCCUGAUGUCUGACGCUAGAACACCACGUAAAGUCAAGCAGAGGGAAGUGAAUGCGCCCUAGGCCCCUGCAGGCCACCAAGAAGAGCUAGAGGGAGUUGGUGCAAUCCUAGAGAUGCCGGCAGGUGCACCAAUCUGUGGCACACGUACGCUCUCCAAUGGAAGACAACUCAAGACCACACCAAGUUUGUAUUAAAAAAGUACUGUUGUGUUACUUUUUACCAACCUCCAAUCAUUAUACAAAAUGUUAAAAAAUACACAAACACACACACACACUCACAGCCAUAGAGGUUAUCGCAAAAGAUCAACCCAGAAUCUUUCAGAAUAUGACAGAUGCACUGAGAAGGCAGAUAAAUUGAUUCAAUAUACAAAAGGCCUCUUUCCUAUGGAAUUUCAUUAGAUUAAAUAAGGUGUUCCCUCCUCACAGCCUCAUCCUUAUGAGCAAUCAUAUAAAUAAUCUAUUUAAAGUCCUUGAACUAUAACUUGUAUAAUUUUUAGUUUUCCCCCUUUGAAGGGGCCUAAGAGAAAGGUUUGAGAAACCAGCUCUUGAGGGGGGCAGGGGUGAGGGGUAAGAGGUCCUGUGCCUUUCAUUCAUCCUGGGAGCUUCUCAGGAUUGCAGCAUUUCCACCUGAGUGUUCAUUCUUGUACAUUUUCUCAUCUUUCUCCUGGGUUCCUAGGAUCUUGGAGAUUACCUAGUCCAAUCCUUUUACUUCAGAAACAAAAAACCUGAGGCUCAGAAAGGCUAAGUCAAAUGCCUAGGGUCACACAGGGAAACUGUGGGAGUUGGAUCCCUGAGUCCCAGUCCUUAAACUGGUUGCUACAUGACAUUCUAGAACCUCUCCCCACCAACUCCCUUUUUAAAGACAGGGUCUGGUUCUGUCACCCAGGCUGAAGUGCAGUGACAUGAUCUUGGCUCACUGCAACCUCCGCUUCCUGGGCUCAAGCCAUUCUCCCACCUCAGCCUCCCAAGUAGCUGGGACAACAGGCACAUGCCACUACGCCCAGUUAAUUUUUCUAAUUUUGUUUUGUAGAGACAGAUUUGCCAUGUUGCCCAGGCUGGUCUCGAAUUACUGGCCUCAAGCGAUACGCCUGUUUAGGCAUCCCAAAGUGCUGGGGUUACCGGCAGGAGCAAUUGCUCCGGGCCAGACUUCCCUUCCCCCGCCCACACCCCCCCAACCCGGCCUAGAUCCACAGGCACUGUAAUCACAGCUGACACACUCGACUCGGAAUCAGCAUAGAGAGCACUCUGAAAAUUGUCAAAUAGGGUCCCUGAAACUUGUAUACCAUACUUCUCCUGAAGAUCUUGAAGCAUCUUUGUGUUUGCUUUUUUUUUUUUUAACUUAAAAUAUGGCAUUCAGGUUUUAUCCCUCUCCCCGACGCCAUGUUUCCUUUCUGUAUUAGUCACACACGUGAUCCUAAAGUCUGUCUUCCCCACUUUAACUGGGGAGGGCUGGACAAGGUGGAAUUCCAAUUGCAGGAGACAGGAUGUGACAUGGGUGAGGUGCCCAAGGCUCACCGACUGAAACUUCGAUGGCUCUUCCCUGUUUCCUUGUGCAGGGCCCCCCUUCUCUCCACUGCUCACCUGGCUCUCCUCCUCCCUUCCUGCCUGCUUUGCAGCUCUUGCUACUAUUUUCCUUUUCUUUCCCUGCUCCCACCCUGGCCCAAUUUAUUUCACAGAAAUAUCACAGGGCCAGCCAGGCACAGCGGCUCACCCCUGUAAUCCCAGCACUUUACGAGGCUGAGGAGGGCAGAUCACUUGAGGUCAGGAGUUUGAGACCAGCCUGGCCAACAUGGUAAAAUCCUGUCUCUACUAAAAAUACAAAAAUUUGCUAGGCAUGGUGGCAGGCGCCUGUAAUCCCAGCUACUUGCGAGGGAGGCUGAGGCAGGAGAAUCACUUGAACCUGGGAGGCGGAUGUUGCAGUGAGCCAAGAUCACACCAUUGCGCUCCAGCUUGGGCGACAGAACGAGACUCUGUCUC
rnacentral:lncRNA from 10 species